AGUCGAUGAUGAUAGAUCAAAAAGGCUUGUUUCUCAAAACAUUCGCAGUUGCCGCCUAAGGCUUUCGCCUUUCGCCGGGCUUGAGAGUCAAUGCUGUUCUUUAUCCUUCCUUGGAUGUCUGAGACU
rfam:Arabis alpina cultivar Pajares chromosome 6, whole genome shotgun sequence.